UACGUAGGGGGCAAGCGUUGUCCGGAUUUAUUGGGCGUAAAGAGCGUGUAGGCGGUUUGGUAGGUCAGCUGUGAAAACUCGAGGCUCAACCUCGAGACGCCGGUUGAAACCAUCUGGCUAGAGUCCGGAAGAGGAGAGUGGAAUUCCUGGUGUAGCGGUGAAAUGCGCAGAUAUCAGGAAGAACACCCGUGGCUAAGGCGGCUCUCUAGUACGGUACUGACGCUGAGACGCGAAAGCGUGGGGAGCGAACAGG
rnacentral:rRNA from 1 species